rnacentral:rRNA from 1 species
AUUGAACGCUGGCGGCAUGCUUUACACAUGCAAGUCGGACGGCAGCACAGAGAAGCUUGCUUCUUGGGUGGCGAGUGGCGAACGGGUGAGUAAUAUAUCGGAACGUACCGAGUAAUGGGGGAUAACUAAUCGGAAGAUUAGCUAAUACCGCAUAUUCUCUGAGGAGGAAAGCAGGGGACCUUCGGGCCUUGCGUUAUUCGAGCGGCCGAUAUCUGAUUAGCUAGUUGGUGGGGUAAAGGCCUACCAAGGCGACGAUCAGUAGCGGGUCUGAGAGGAUGAUCCGCCACACUGGGACUGAGACACGGCCCAGACUCCUACGGGAGGCAGCAGUGGGGAAUUUUGGACAAUGGGCGCAAGCCUGAUCCAGCCAUGCCGCGUGUCUGAAGAAGGCCUUCGGGUUGUAAAGGACUUUUGUCAGGGAAGAAAAGGCUGUUGCUAAUACCGACAGCUGAUGACGGUACCUGAAGAAUAAGCACCGGCUAACUACGUGCCAGCAGCCGCGGUAAUACGUAGGGUGCGAGCGUUAAUCGGAAUUACUGGGCGUAAAGCGAGCGCAGACGGUUACUUAAGCAGGAUGUGAAAUCCCCGGGCUCAACCUGGGAACUGCGUUCUGAACUGGGUGACUAGAGUGUGUCAGAGGGAGGUAGAAUUCCACGUGUAGCAGUGAAAUGCGUAGAGAUGUGGAGGAAUACCGAUGGCGAAGGCAGCCUCCUGGGGAUAACACUGACGUUCGUGCUCGAAAGCGUGGGUAGCAAACAGG